rnacentral:lncRNA from 1 species
GUUUAAUGAUAAACUAAAUUUCCAAUUCUAGUCCAAAUUAGUCAAGGAAAACUAUAGAAACAGGCUAUCUUGGGACUGAGAAAUGGAAUAAGCUAAUAAAGGUCCCAAGAAUCAAAUUUAAUUUUGGUUCAUGUGGAUUUUGGUAAAUAACUUUCUUUUCCUGAGGGUACAGGACAAAGUGACACUGAGAGAGAGAGCCACCUUGGUCUCUUUCUACCUCUGGCAGCCUGCAAGGCAAUGCUGUAAUCCAGGGCUCUGUGAGAUUUUGCCGAGUUUCUUCCGGUUAGCUUGUGAGGCACCAUUUGCUUUCUUGUUUGUGCUCUUGUUUCAGAUUGCUCUGGGCUCUUAGACAGAACCGAGCGAUGAAAAUUUUAGUAUGGCUGAUGCUGCGUGGGAGUCACAUCUUUUGGGGGUGUGCUUUCAACUGCUGAAAAAGAAAAGAGAAGAGGAGGAGGAAGAGAACGGAAAAAUUGUAAACCCAGGGAAUUCUCUGAGACAGGAAUAUCUUCUUGAUGUUUUUAUUCUUGAUUCUAAGCAGCGUAAGGCUUAAUGUUCAAUAAGCCAAUAUUUUCCAAGUUAAAAAAAUACCAGCUGCUUUUUUUUUAUUCCCCUUGUCAGUUUAGAGAAAAUAUUCAGCAAAGCUCAGCAGCAGGAGACAUUUCAAUUACUGCACCAUUUAGUAAAGCAAAAAUCCUAACUGAAAGAAACAUUGCAAAUGUAAAUAGCAAGAAAUUGGCUUCCCAUUCCAUUCAGAUAGCAGCAGAGAGAAGUAUUCUAGAUAUCACCCACCUUCAUAGUGAAAAACCUGAGUGCAGAAAAGGAACUAAACUCACACAGCCUUACACACACAAGAUGAAAAUUGAAAUGGGUAACUGUAAGUGGACCAGUGCCAUACUGUUUUACACACGGGGCUGUACACUGACCUCUGAUUCUGUGGCUGUAAGUGGAAGUUACAGGUGAUGUUGAAACAGUAAUUUCAGAUUCUACAUAAGCAACUGAACUCUGUACACUUGGGAAAAUCUAUACACCUGCGUUCCGUGGACUCCUUUGGUCAGAGCAUCAUCAAGAGAAAUCGAUCUGCUCUCCAAGGUUCCUUGGUGAAUUAGGUAGAAGAUGUACUGGAAGGUCCUAGACUGUUCACUUCAUGGAAUUAUGCUACUAUCUGCAUGAUGCCAUGGGAAGACGCUGUGUGCUUUGAGCAUAUGUUUUCAUUUGGGUAUUAAGAAACAUUUGUUUCUCCUCCAUUGGAUUUUGAAAGAAGGAAGCAAAUGUGUUAAAAAGCUACAGUAUUCUUCUUGUCCAUUUGUGAAAGCAGAGUGUUUACAAGCCUUCUUUUAUUGACCAGCCCCCUCUCCAAGCAGGAGGUAGUUAUUAUUUGCAUUUUUACAGUGGAAGAAACAAACGGAGUGAGGUUGAGUCAUUCACUCAAGGCCAAACAACUAGCAAAAGGCUUUGCAAGAUAAAGUUGCAUGUUGCUGAUGGAAAAGCCCAGGAUAUUUCUGAGCACAGAAGAUACCAGCUGUGAAUGUAGACUGGAGCCCUGUAUCCACAUACUCCUUUUCUAUGGUACCCAGGUGGCAAGACUGGCUCUGAGGAGCGAGAGGGAAAGCUAAGUGACAGGAUGCCCAGAAGUGGCAGGAGUCAGCCUGCGGAGCGGUCCUCACCUCACACUCUGUUCCGUCUAUCACCUAACAUGUAUUGACUACACCGGGGCCAUCUUGGUUCCGCAGAAUUUUUGAGGGAAUAGCUGGCUGAAGAAAAGCACCAGCAAUCAUCUCAACCUAAGAGCCUACACUUAUUAACAUGUAAAUAGAUAUACAAUUAGUUGCAAUUUAGUAACUUAUAAGUAGAUUUAAGGGUUGGGGAACUAAGAACAGUUGGUAAAAUGAUCAAUAUUAAUUAUUUCUCUUCAGAUGUGUAACUGUACAGAUUUUUAAUUUAAGGUAAUUGAACAUCAGACACUGCUUCCCUGUUCUUUAUUGUUGAUAUAU